rnacentral:rRNA from 1 species
AGUGGCGGACGGGUGAGUAAUGUCUGGGAAACUGCCUGAUGGAGGGGGAUAACUACUGGAAACGGUAGCUAAUACCGCAUAACGUCGCAAGACCAAAGAGGGGGACCUUCGGGCCUCUUGCCAUCGGAUGUGCCCAGAUGGGAUUAGCUAGUAGGUGGGGUAACGGCUCACCUAGGCGACGAUCCCUAGCUGGUCUGAGAGGAUGACCAGCCACACUGGAACUGAGACACGGUCCAGACUCCUACGGGAGGCAGCAGUGGGGAAUACUGCACAAUGGGCGCAAGCCUGAUGCAGCCAUGCCGCGUGUAUGAAGAAGGCCUUCGGGUUGUAAAGUACUUUCAGCGGGGAGGAAGGGAGUAAAGUUAAUACCUUUGCUCAUUGACGUUACCCGCAGAAGAAGCACCGGCUAACUCCGUGCCAGCAGCCGCGGUAAUACGGAGGGUGCAAGCGUUAAUCGGAAUUACUGGGCGUAAAGCACACGCAGGCGGUUUGUUAAGUCAGAUGUGAAAUCCCCGGGCUCAACCUGGGAACUGCAUCUGAUACUGGCAAGCUUGAGUCUCGUAGAGGGGGGUAGAAUUCCAGGUGUAGCGGUGAAAUGCGUAGAGAUCUGGAGGAAUACCGGUGGCGAAGGCGGCCCC